rnacentral:rRNA from 1 species
UACAGAGGUCCCAAGCGUUAUUCGGAUUCACUGGGCGUAAAGGGUGCGCAGGCGGCCAAGUGUGUGAGGUGUGAAAGCCUGGGGCUUAACCCCAGAAUUGCACCUCAAACUACUUGGCUAGAGCAUUGGAGAGGGUAGCAGAAUUCACGGUGUAGCAGUGAAAUGCGUAGAUAUCGUGAGGAAUACCAGAGGCGAAGGCGGCUACCUGGACAAUUGCUGACGCUCAGGCACGAAAGCGUGGGGAGCAAAAGGG